rnacentral:tRNA from 1 species
GCGUCGUUCUUACGGUAACUGACCUCAACGAUUACGAUGCUUCGACCCAGACUACGAAUCUGAGGGUCGGACGUUCGAAUCGUUCCGGGCGCGCCA